GCUUACGGCCAUACCAGCCUGGGUACGCCCGAUCUCGUCUGAUCUCGGAAGCUAAGCAGGGUCGUGCCUGGUUAGUACUUGGAUGGGAGACGGCCUGGGAAUACCAGGUGCUGUAAGCA
rnacentral:rRNA from 1 species